rnacentral:rRNA from 1 species
AUUGAACGCUGGCGGCAGGCCUAACACAUGCAAGUCGAGCGAGCGGCGGACGGGUGAGGAAUGUAUGGGGACUGCCCGAUAGAGGGGGAUAACUACUGGAAACGGUAGCUAAUACCGCAUACUAUCGGAUAACCCAUAUGGGAUUAGCUAGUAGGUGGGGUAAGGGCUCACGUUGGCGACGAACCCUAGCUGGUCUGAGCGGAUGAUACGCCACACUGGGACUACGACACGACCCAGACUCCUACGGAGGCAGCAGUGGGGAAUAUUGCACAAUGGGCGCAAGCCGUAUGCAGCCAUGCCGCGUGUAUGAAGAAGGCCCUAGGGUUGUAAAGUACUUUCAGUCGGGAGGCGUUACCGACAGAAGAAGCACCGGCUAACUCCGUGCCAGCAGCCGCGGUAAUUC